AUUGAACGCUGGCGGAAUGCUUUACACAUGCAAGUCGAACGGCAGCACAGACUUCGGUCUGGUGGCGAGUGGCGAACGGGUGAGUAAUGUAUCGGAACGUGCCCAGUCGUGGGGGAUAACGUAGUGAAAAUUACGCUAAUACCGCAUACGAUCUAUGGAUGAAAGCGGGGGAUCGCAAGACCUCGCGCGAUUGGAGCGGCCGAUAUCAGAUUAGGUAGUUGGUGGGGUAAAGGCCCACCAAGCCAACGAUCUGUAGCUGGUCUGAGAGGACGACCAGCCACACUGGAACUGAGACACGGUCCAGACUCCUACGGGAGGCAGCAGUGGGGAAUUUUGGACAAUGGGCGAAAGCCUGAUCCAGCCAUUCCGCGUGCAGGAUGAAGGCCCUCGGGUUGUAAACUGCUUUUGUACAGAACGAAAAGGUUUCUACUAAUACUAGGAGCUCAUGACGGUACUGUAAGAAUAAGCACCGGCUACUACGUGCCAGCCGCCGCAGUAA
rnacentral:rRNA from 1 species